rnacentral:rRNA from 1 species
UACGGGGGGAGCAAGCGUUGUUCGGAUUUACUGGGCGUAAAGGGCGCGUAGGCGGCGUGACAAGUCACUUGUGAAAUCUCCGGGCUUAACCCGGAGCGGCCAAGUGAUACUGUCGUGCUAGAGUGCGGAAGGGGCUACUGGAAUUCUCGGUGUAGCGGUGAAAUGCGUAGAUAUCGAGAGGAACACCUGCGGCGAAGGCGGGUAGCUGGGCCGACACUGACGCUGAGGCGCGAAAGCCAGGGGAGCGAACGGGG